CUCCGUCUGAAAGACACAAGCGCGAGGCACUAGCAGUGACUGAUCCCCGCGUCAGCAGCACACCUCACGGACGCAUUCCGGCUGUCUCCCCCAGACUUGCUCUCGGGCUGAGUUUGAAGGACAGCAUGCGGGAUGCCGUUGGCUCCACGUAAGUUGACAGCGCAACUCAACUCACAGCCCUGAGAUCAAGACCUGAGCUGAGGUCAAGAGUCAGAUGCUCAACCAACGGAGCCACCCAGGUGCCUUGGGGCUGACACACCUGCUUCUACAGCGAGGCCUUUGGAGCAGGCCCAGGUGUUGCUGGCUGACCCCUGCUGUGCUGUGUUCCUGCGGUGCUUUCAGGGACCAUGGAGCGAUGCGAGUAUCCAGUGAUAACUAUCGUUGCCUGGAUUCACGAUUUUAUCAGGACUUUUAAAGAGGUCCACUGGGCCGGAUCACAUCUGUUUCCAUGAGUCCCUGAACUUGUGGACUGAUGUGGAAGGGAAGCUAACCCCAGUGAGGGACUCCUGUUGGGGCAGAAGCCAGGCCCAGUCCUCACUGAAGACUGCCCCGCCCCGGACCCAGCGUGAAAGGGGACCGUGAAGCCACGGCUUACCCUGGUGCUCGAGCUCUCCGAG